rnacentral:rRNA from 1 species
UCCUGGCUCAGGAUGAACGCUAGCUACAGGCUUAACACAUGCAAGUCGCGGGGCAGCAUUUUCUUAGCUUGCUAAGGAAGAUGGCGACCGGCGCACGGGUGAGUAACGCGUAUCCAACCUUCCCAUGUCCACGGGAUAGCCCGUCGAAAGGCGGAUUAAUACCGUAUGAGGUCACAUGCGGGCAUCUAAUUGUGACGAAAGGUUUAGCGGUGAAGGAUGGGGAUGCGUCUGAUUAGCUUGUUGGUGAGGUAACGGCUCACCAAGGCGACGAUCAGUAGGGGGUUCUGAGAGGAAGGUCCCCCACAUUGGAACUGAGACACGGUCCAAACUCCUACGGGAGGCAGCAGUGAGGAAUAUUGGUCAAUGGGCGAGAGCCUGAACCAGCUAAGUAGCGUGCAGGACGACGGCCCUAUGGGUUGUAAACUGCUUUUAUAAGGGAAUAAAGUGAGUCUCGUGAGACUUUUUGCAUGUACCUUAUGAAUAAGGACCGGCUAAUUCCGUG